rnacentral:rRNA from 1 species
GACGAACGCUGGCGGCGUGGAUAAGACAUGCAAGUCGGACGAGAUUUUUCGUUGUAGCAAUAUGAUGGGAAGUUUAGUGGCGAACGGGUGCCUAACACGUGGGCAACCUGCCAGGAAGUGGGGGAUAGCUCGCCGAAAGGCGAAUUAAUACCGCAUGUGAUUAGAGAGGACAUCCUUUCGAAAUUAAAGUCGGGGCAACCUGACGCUUCUUGUGGGGCCCGCGGCCUAUCAGCUAGUUGGUGGGGUAACGGCUCACCAAGGCUUUGACGGGUAGCUGGUCUGAGAGGACGACCAGCCACACUGGGACUGAGACACGGCCCAGACACCUACGGGUGGCAGCAGUCGAGAAUUUUUGACAAUGGGGGAAACCCUGAUCGAGCGACGCCGCGUGGAGGAUGAAGGUCUUCGGAUUGUAAACUCCUGUCAUUGGGGAACAAUGCGUGACGGUUAACUGCCGUCGCGUUGAUAGUACCCGAAGAGGAAGAGACGGCUAACUCUGUGCCAGCCGCCGCGGUAAGAC